rnacentral:rRNA from 1 species
AGGGCACCACCAGGAGUGGAGCCUGCGGCUUAAUUUGACUCAACACGGGAAAACUUACCCGGCCCGGACACUGGCAGGAUUGACAGAUUGAGAGCUCUUUCUUGAUUCAGUGGGUGGUGGCGCAUGGCCGUUCUUAGUUGGUGGAGCGAUUUGUCUGGUUAAUUCCGAUAACGAACGAGACUCUAGCCUACUAAAUAGGCCACCGGCUUACUGACGUCGGUGGGACUUCUUAGAGGGACAGGCGGCGAUUCAGCCGCACGAAACAGAGCAAUAACAGGUCUGUGAUGCCCUUAGAUGUCCGGGGCCGCACGCGCGCUACACUGAAGUGAUCAGCGUGCAUUACAAACCUGCUCCGUCAGGAGUGGGGAACCCAAUGAACCUUCUUCGUGAUUGGGAUAGGGGAUUGUAAUUAUUCCCCUUGAGCGAGGAAUUCCCAGUAAGCGCGAGUCAUAAGCUCGCGUUGAUUACGUCCCUGCCCUUUGUACACACCGCCCGUCGCUACUACCGAUUGAAUGAUUU